rnacentral:rRNA from 1 species
UACGAAGGGGGCUAGCGUUGCUCGGAAUCACUGGGCGUAAAGCGCACGUAGGCGGAUUGUUAAGUCAGGGGUGAAAUCCUGGAGCUCAACUCCAGAACUGCCUUUGAUACUGAAGAUCUUGAGUUCGGGAGAGGUGAGUGGAACUGCGAGUGUAGAGGUGAAAUUCGUAGAUAUUCGCAAGAACACCAGUGGCGAAGGCGGCUCACUGGCCCGAUACUGACGCUGAGGCACGAAAGCGUGGGGAGCAAACAGGA